AAUUGGAAAACAUUCUAGUUUUAUUUUAUUAUAUUGGUAAACUAUUUGGAUGUAUAAUUUUAUUGAUUUGUCGAGAAAAACUAAGGCCAGUGAAUUUCAAUGUGCUUACCCCCUGCCCCUUUUCUCUCGGUGCCUCUCAAACCUCUUGUAUUUCUAGAGAGAGGGAGGGGACGAUGGAGAGGAUCGAAGAACCAACGCUUCUCGCCCUUUUAGGGAGCUUUGCAUAGGAGAAGCUUGGGCGAUCGUUAACCUUGCAAAAUCCACCAUCGAUCUUAGAGAACACGACCUUGUGACACCUUUGUUGAAUUGGAAGCCACUUCUCGUCUUGUGAAAUGUCAGGCAUGCUCUUCUUCUUUAAUGGCCCCUAAACCUAUGGCAAUUCCUUUGGUAAAAAGUGCCAAACGAAGAUUCAGAGAUAAACCCACCACUGUUUUUGAUGGAGAAACCAGAACCUGGUCUUAUUUUCAUGUCAGGAUUUUCUCGUAAUCUAUGGGUAAAGAGGGAAAAUUGAGGGUGGGGAACAAUUGGGUUCAGUGAAAGAAAGUGGGAAGAUUGGAACCUGAGUUUUCCUUUGAGAGAGAAGCUGGGAUUUCCCAAGAGAGAGAAAGAGAAAGGAGAGGAGCACAGGCUUGAGGAAACGGUUGCGGACCUGGGGUUUCUAGAGAGAGAGAGGGUUGGGGGCUCUUGGGAUUUCUAUAGAGAGAGAGAAUGGUGGGCUUUCUCUCAGCUCCCUCGUAACAGAGAGAGAUUGAGGAAUACAGAUUCCGUAAAAAAAAAAGGCCUAAGCUUCUUUAGAGAGGAAGACAUUGAGAAAACCAGAAAAAUGGCAUACCUGUUUUUGCUCUACAACUGCCUUUGAUGCCUUGUGAGCUUUAAGUGAGAGAGAGGGCUUGAUCUUGGGAGAGGUGUUCCCGACAGUAGCAGAGAGUUUCUUAGCAGCAGAACUCCGGGUUUUGAACGAGAGAGAGUAGAGAGUUUCUACGUAGCAGAGCUCUGGGUUUUGAACGAGAGAGAGCGUAGCUCUAUGUUUGCAUGAGAGAGUAGAAGGAGAUGAGGGAAA
rnacentral:lncRNA from 1 species